AUGUACAAUACCAAUAAUUCAAGGGGGGACUUUUCACAAAUCUGAGAGAAUAUAUAUCUCUGUAUUAUUACAUCAGGUAACAGCAUAUAAAACAACAAAAUUGAAGUCUGCAAAACGCAUAUUUCUGCACGCAUAAUACAAAGAACAUAUCCAAUGCCCUAAAAUCGAACCAAAAAGGAAAUCCUAAAAAGUAAGAAUUUUUACAAACAAGUGAGAAGCACAAGGCUUUUACAACAAGAGAAAGGAAAAGCUCAGGAGGGAUAGACAGGAAGAGAGGUGGUGAGUUGGGCGGGUACAGGGAAAGUUUAAAGCUAAACUCUCCGUCUGUAAUUGAAGAUAGAGAGUUUAAAUGUGAAGGGAGAACGAAGAUGACAACUGUGAGAAAAGGUCUUACAAGGUCAAGAAGACACAAGAAGAAAUAAUAGAAUA